rnacentral:antisense_RNA from 1 species
CUUCAAGGAGCCCAUCAGGAGCGGCUGCCCGUCGGGGCGUUCCUGCCCGUAGGUGGCGAGGACGGCCUGGGCCUC